AGAGUUUGAUCAUGGCUCAGAACGUACGCUGGCGGCACGCCUAACACAUGCAAGUCGAACGAAGUAGCAAUACUUAGUGGCAGACGGGUGAGUAACAUGUAGGUAUCUGCCCUUUGGCCUGGAAUAACACGAGGAAACUUGUGCUAAUACCGGAUAAGUCUUUACGGAGAAAGCUUUAUGCACCAUUGGAUGAGCCUGCACUUGAUUAGUUUGUUGGUGGGGUAAUGGCCUACCAAGACUUUGAUCAAUAGCUGAUUUGAGAGGAUGAUCAGCCACAUUGGGACUGAGACACGGCCCAAACUCCUACGGGAGGCAGCAGUGGGGAAUCUUGCACAAUGGAGGAAACUCUGAUGCAGCGAUGCCGCGUGAGUGAAGAAGGCCCUUGGGGAGUAAAGCUCUUUCGUC
rnacentral:rRNA from 1 species